UAUAUGAUCACCCUGUUUGCAAGUGCAGCUGAGUGUGGCGACGCCGAUCCGAUCCCCGCGCAAUGGCGCAACGCGGAAGGAUGAGCAUCCGAUUCGAGGCAGGUUGGGACAGGACCGAGAGAAAAGGGAGCGCAUUCUUUGAUAAGAUUUACCGACACCGUACUGAUAAUCUGAGCAUUAAAAUAAAAACACAUCCCAAAUUGGUACAAGAUUCAGUUCUAGCCAACGCCAACCUCUAGUGAGAUUGUGGCCACCGCUCAUUGCCCCUUGUUUGCACUAGCAUCCCAUAGAUGUCGCUAAUAAAUUGGCGAAACGACUUCCGAAGCAGGCAAUUGGAAUGAGAACUUAUUAAUUCAAUAAAUUCGAUUGGUACCACAAUUGUUCAGCACGGACGGUCCCUGCUGCUCUCCCUGUACGACACAACUACUACUAGUAACCGAAAAGAUGCAGUCCCAAAUAAUGCGGAGAUGGAUAAAGUAAACAGGAAUUGG